rnacentral:rRNA from 1 species
CCUACGGGAGGCAGCAGUGAGGAAUAUUGGUCAAUGGCCGCGAGCCUGAACCAGCCAAGUCGCGUGAAGGAAGACGGCCCUACGGGUUGUAAACCUCUUUUGUCCGGGAGCAAAGUCAGUCACGUGUGACUCUUUGAAAGUACCCUAAGAAUAAGCAUCGGCUAACUCCGUGCCAGCAGCCGCGGUAAUACGGAGGAUGCGAGCGUUAUCCGGAUUUAUUGGGUUUAAAGGGUGCGUAGGCGGGAUGUUAAGUCAGCGGGGAAAUUUCGGGGCUCAACCCUAGAAUUGCCAUUGAUACUGGAAGCCUUGAGUACAGGUGAGGUAGGCGGAAUGCGUGGUGUAGCGGUGAAAUGCUUAGAUAUCACGCAGAACUCCGAUUGCGAAGGCAGCAUACCAACGCGCAACUGACGUUGAUGCACGAAAGCGUGGGUAUCGAACAGGAUUAGAUACCCCAGUAGUC